ACGAAGCGUGUGGAGCCCAAUGAUUGGGUAUCGAUGAUCGAUGUGUGGGAAACUGAAGAAUGGAAGACAAAAUCUUAUAAAGCGAAGGAGAGUCGAUCAAAGUUGCCCUACAAUUAUAUAUCUGGUUCCUGAUCAUUUGCAGCAGCGAUGUCACUAAUCAAAUAAAAAAAUGAUGAGCAAGCUCCCUCUUUUCCGGAAUUUUACAAAGAAACCCACUACAAAAAAAAAAGGAAAGUAUGGGUAAACGAGAAAGCACAAGAUACCUAUAAGCGAUUAGUCAACAAGACUAUCGAACAAUCUCAGCCCGAAGUUACAUCCCCGAUGAAUGAGUUUGAGAUCUCCAUUGAGGUACUUGGAAGGAGGCCAGGUUACCGGAAGGGGUAUGGUAUGCUGAGGUCGUGGCUUUAAAGGAGACAGUAGUUGUGCAAGCCGAACAGAUUGCCUCACAAACCGAACAGAUUGCCUCACAAGCCGAGCAGAUGAACGCACAAGCCCAGAAGACUGCUGAUCUUGUGGCUUUAGUGCAUCAGCUAUUUGCACGUAGCCAGCCUGCAACGAGCGGUGGUAGUAGAGAUUUCUCAUCGAGAUGAGAAGUAGAAGCAUCAGUAUCUCAGAUACAAGGAGGAGGAUCCAUGGAGGCCGACAACGAAGACAAAUAUACAAGAGACGGAACCACAGACUUCAGAGGACAAAUGAUGUAUCCUUGGUUUUUCUACUUGGUUGGUCCAGCCGAUAUAACAAAUGUGGUCAGGCUGAUGGGGCUUCUGACAUUCCUACCAAGUUCCUGUCCUACACUGUAUGCGAGAGGCAAACAUUGUUGCAGAUGCACUAUCUAAACUGGGACAUGUUCUUCCUCAAAUCCAUUUGUUCUUUGUAAUUAAUGAUACAAAUUUGAUAUUGUUGUUUCUAGUUUUCUUGAUGUAAUAUGUUUUUGAGAGACUUUAUGUACUUGGAUAUGCACGAGGAAGUUUGUAAAUUAACGCUUUUAGCGCUCAAGGGGAAAUAAAAAA